CACCGUAGUUCAGCAAAGCAUUUUGUUCAAGAAACUCUCGCCAUUGUCCAAUCGCAUAAAUGUUCUGUUUGGUUUUUCUUACUUUCAACCUUCAAAGGACUUUGAGAAUAUGGAAUUAUUGCCUGUAAACACAGAUUUUUUUUUUUUCACCCUGUGUGCCUGUGCGUUUGGACUUCACACAAUGAAUGUGGACAUGGUACCUCACUAACAGUCAGUGUGGAUAUUGCAAAUUUCAACCUGUUCAUGGCCUCCGGAACAAUGACGGAACAUCACCCGUCUCCUCAGGAGCCACGAUAACUGCUUUGGCCCCUCCAGAAUUCUACGCUGGCAUGUUUAUAACGGACAAUAAUGAUAAAACGCAAUGACGUCACAGGAAAUGUGCUGGCGAGUUUGUAUUUCCGAGACACCCAGGCAAAAUAAUAUCUACUUGUUCAAUGAGAGUGGCUUGUACUUUGCUCCGAGGCUUCAUGCAUGAUGUAUCAAGUAUAGGCUUGAUGUUGUUAAGUAAAUGCUAAUAUGGUUACCUG